AACGAACGCUGGCGGCGUGUUUAACACAUGCAAGUCGAGCGAUGAAACACCUUCGGGUGUGAAUUAGCGGCGAACGGGUGAGGAACACGUGAGAAAUCUGCCUUCAACACUGGGAUAACUCCGGGAAACCGGGGCUAAUACCGGAUAUGAAAUCUGCGAGCAUCCGCGGAUUUGGAAAGUUUUUCGGUUGAAGAUGAUCUCGCGGCCUAUCAGCUUGUUGGUGAGGUAAUGGCUCACCAAGGCGACGACGGGUAGCCGGCCUGAGAGGGCGACCGGCCACACUGGGACUGAGACACGGCCCAGACUCCUACGGGAGGCAGCAGUGGGGAAUAUUGGGCAAUGGAGGAAACUCUGACCCAGCGACGCCGCGUGCGGGAUGAAGGCCUUCGGGUUGUAAACCGCUUUCAGCAGGGAAGAAGCGAAAGUGACGGUACCUGCAGAAGAAGCACCGGCUAACUAUGUGCCAGCAGCCGCGGUAAUACAUAGGGUGCAAGCGUUGUCCGGAAUUAUAGGGCGUAAAGAGCUCGUAGGUGGUUCGUCACGUCGGAUGUGAAACUCUGGGGCUUAACCCCAGACCUGCAUUCGAUACGGGCGAGCUUGAGUAUGGUAGGGGAGUCUGGAAUUCCUGGUGUAGCGGUGGAAUGCGCAGAUAUCAGGAGGAACACCAAUGGCGAAGGCAGGACUCUGGGCCAUUACUGACACUGAGGAGCGAAAGCGUGGGGAGCGAACAGGAUUAGAUACCCUGGUAGUCCACGCCGUAAACGGUGGGCACUAGUUGUGGGGACCUUCCACGGUCUCUGCGACGCAGCUAACGCAUUAAGUGCCCCGCCUGGGGAGUACGAUCGCAAGAUUA
rnacentral:rRNA from 1 species